UACGAGCGGCCCAAACGUUAUUCGGAAUUACUGGGCUUAAAGAGUUCGUAGGCGGCGCAGAAAGUAGGGUGUGAAAGCCCUCGGCUUAACCGAGGAAUUGCGCUCUAAACUACUGUGCUUGAGGAACCUAGAGGUGAGCAGAACUGAUGGUGGAGCGGUGAAAUGCGUAGAGAUCGGAAAGAACACCAACGGCGAAAGCACUCUGCUGGGCCGACACUGACACUGAGAGACGAAAGCUAGGGGAGCGAAUGGG
rnacentral:rRNA from 1 species